rnacentral:rRNA from 1 species
AACGCGAAGAACCUUACCUGGGCUUGAACCGCACAGGACCAGCUUGAGAAAUCAGGCCUUCCCGCAAGGGACCUGUGUAGAGGUGCUGCAUGGCUGUCGUCAGCUCGUGUCGUGAGAUGUUGGGUUAAGUCCCGCAACGAGCGCAACCCUUAUCCCUAGUUGCCAUCGGGUCAAGCCGGGCACUCUAGUGAAACCGCUUCGGAUAACGGAGAGGAAGGUGGGGAUGACGUCAAGUCCUCAUGGCCUUUAUGUCCAGGGCUACACACGUGCUACAAUGGCCGGUACAAACCGUCCCAAACCCGCGAGGGGGAGGCAAUCGGAAAAAGCCGGCCUCAGUUCGGAUUGGAGUCUGCAACUCGACUCCAUGAAGCUGGAAUCGCUAGUAAUCGCGGAUCAGAACGCCGCGGUGAAUACGUUCCCGGGCCUUGUACACACCGACGCGUA